rnacentral:rRNA from 1 species
UACGGGGGGGGCAAGCGUUGUUCGGAAUUACUGGGCGUAAAGGGCUCGUAGGCGGCCAACUAAGUCAGACGUGAAAUCCCUCGGCUUAACCGGGGAACUGCGUCUGAUACUGGAUGGCUUGAGAUUGGGAGAGGGAUGCGGAAUUCCAGGUGUAGCGGUGAAAUGCGUAGAUAUCUGGAGGAACACCGGUUGCGAAGGCGGCAUCCUGGACCAACACUGACGCUGAGGAGCGAAAGCCAGGGGAGCAAACGGG